AGUGAACGCUGGCGGUAGGCCUAACACAUGCAAGUCGAACGGCAGCACAGUAAGAGCUUGCUCUUACGGGUGGCGAGUGGCGGACGGGUGAGGAAUACAUCGGAAUCUACUUUUUCGUGGGGGAUAACGUAGGGAAACUUACGCUAAUACCGCAUACGACCUACGGGUGAAAGCAGGGGAUCCUCGGACCUUGCGCGAUUGAAUGAGCCGAUGUCGGAUUAGCUAGUUGGCGGGGUAAAGGCCCACCAAGGCGACGAUCCGUAGCUGGUCUGAGAGGAUGAUCAGCCACACUGGAACUGAGACACGGGCCAGACUCCUACGGGAGGCAGCAGUGGGGAAUAUUGGACAAUGGGCGCAAGCCUGAUCCAGCCAUACCGCGUGGGUGAAGAAGGCCUUCGGGUUGUAAAGCCCUUUUGUUGGGAAAGAAAAGCAGCAGGUUAAUACCCCGCUGUUCUGACGGUACCCAAAGAAUAAGCACCGGCUAACUUCGU
rnacentral:rRNA from 1 species